rnacentral:rRNA from 1 species
CAGUCGCCGCGGUAAUACAGAGGGUGCGAGCGUUAAUCGGAUUUACUGGGCGUAAAGCGUGCGUAGGCGGCUUCUUAAGUCGGAUGUGAAAUCCCUGAGAUUAACUUAGGAAUUGCAUUCGAUACUGGGAAGCUAGAGUAUGGGAGAGGAUGGUAGAAUUCCAGGUGUAGCGGUGAAAUGCGUAGAGAUCUGGAGGAAUACCGAUGGCGAAGGCAGCCAUCUGGCCUAAUACUGACGCUGAGGUACGAAAGCAUGGGGAGCAAACAGGAUUAGAUACCCCAGUAGUCCCUGUCUCUUAUAC